AGGUUGGGUAACACUAACUGGAGGACCGAACCGACUAAUGUUGAAAAAUUAGCGGAUGACUUGUGGCUGGGGGUGAAAGGCCAAUCAAACCGGGAGAUAGCUGGUUCUCCCCGAAAGCUAUUUAGGUAGCGCCUCGUGAAUUCAUCUCCGGGGGUAGAGCACUGUUUCGGCAAGGGGGUCAUCCCGACUUACCAACCCGAUGCAAACUGCGAAUACCGGAGAAUGUUAUCACGGGAGACACACGGCGGGUGCUAACGUCCGUCGUGAAGAGGGAAACAACCCAGACCGCCAGCUAAGGUCCCAAAGUCAUGGUUAAGUGGGAAACGAUGUGGGAAGGCCCAGACAGCCAGGAUGUUGGCUUAGAAGCAGCCAUCAUUUAAAGAAAGCGUAAUAGCUCACUGGUCGAGUCGGCCUGCGCGGAAGAUGUAACGGGGCUAAACCAUGCACCGAAGCUGCGGCAGCGACGCUUAUGCGUUGUUGGGUAGGGGAGCGUUCUGUAAGCCUGUGAAGGUGUGCUGUGAGGCAUGCUGGAGGUAUCAGAAGUGCGAAUGCUGACAUAAGUAACGAUAAAGCGGGUGAAAAGCCCGCUCGCCGGAAGACCAAGGGUUCCUGUCCAACGUUAAUCGGGGCAGGGUGAGUCGACCCCUAAGGCGAGGCCGAAAGGCGUAGUCGAUGGGAAACAGGUUAAUAUUCCUGUACUUGGUGUUACUGCGAAGGGGGGACGGAGAAGGCUAUGUUGGCCGGGCGACGGUUGUCCCGGUUUAAGCGUGUAGGCUGGUUUUCCAGGCAAAUCCGGAAAAUCAAGGCUGAGGCGUGAUGACGAGGCACUACGGUGCUGAAGCAACAAAUGCCCUGCUUCCAGGAAAAGCCUCUAAGCAUCAGGUAACAUCAAAUCGUACCCCAAACCGACACAGGUGGUCAGGUAGAGAAUACCAAGGCGCUUGAGAGAACUCGGGUGAAGGAACUAGGCAAAAUGGUGCCGUAACUUCGGGAGAAGGCACGCUGAUAUGUAGGUGAAGUCCCUCGCGGAUGGAGCUGAAAUCAGUCGAAGAUACCAGCUGGCUGCAACUGUUUAUUAAAAACACAGCACUGUGCAAACACGAAAGUGGACGUAUACGGUGUGACGCCUGCCCGGUGCCGGAAGGUUAAUUGAUGGGGUCAGCGCAAGCGAAGCUCUUGAUCGAAGCCCCGGUAAACGGCGGCCGUAACUAUAACGGUCCUAAGGUAGCGAAAUUCCUUGUCGGGUAAGUUCCGACCUGCACGAAUGGCGUAAUGAUGGCCAGGCUGUCUCCACCCGAGACUCAGUGAAAUUGAACUCGCUGUGAAGAUGCAGUGUACCCGCGGCAAGACGGAAAGACCCCGUGAACCUUUACUAUAGCUUGACACUGAACAUUGAGCCUUGAUGUGUAGGAUAGGUGGGAGGCUUAGAAGUGUGGACGCCAGUCUGCAUGGAGCCGACCUUGAAAUACCACCCUUUAAUGUUUGAUGUUCUAACGUUGACCCGUAAUCCGGGUUGCGGACAGUGUCUGGUGGGUAGUUUGACUGGGGCGGUCUCCUCCUAAAGAGUAACGGAGGAGCACGAAGGUUGGCUAAUCCUGGUCGGACAUCAGGAGGUUAGUGCAAUGGCAUAAGCCAGCUUGACUGCGAGCGUGACGGCGCGAGCAGGUGCGAAAGCAGGUCAUAGUGAUCCGGUGGUUCUGAAUGGAAGGGCCAUCGCUCAACGGAUAAAAGGUACUCCGGGGAUAACAGGCUGAUACCGCCCAAGAGUUCAUAUCGACGGCGGUGUUUGGCACCUCGAUGUCGGCUCAUCACAUCCUGGGGCUGAAGUAGGUCCCAAGGGUAUGGCUGUUCGCCAUUUAAAGUGGUACGCGAGCUGGGUUUAGAACGUCGUGAGACAGUUCGGUCCCUAUCUGCCGUGGGCGCUGGAGAACUGAGGGGGGCUGCUCCUAGUACGAGAGGACCGGAGUGGACGCAUCACUGGUGUUCGGGUUGUCAUGCCAAUGGCACUGCCCGGUAGCUAAAUGCGGAAGAGAUAAGUGCUGAAAGCAUCUAAGCACGAAACUUGCC
rnacentral:rRNA from 1 species